rnacentral:lncRNA from 1 species
UCGAAAGAAAGAGCUUUUCAAGAUAAAAGCUUCUGAUCUUGCAUGUGGGCUCUCGCUGGAAUGCGUACAGUAUGGGAGGUUUAAUAUUUUCUUGAUAAAAUUAGAAGACUGUUCCCGAAAAAAAUUUUUCUUAAUACAAUUUUUGUACAGACAUUCUAACUUUUUGUUUUUGGUCUGCAACCUUCACACCCCCCCCGCCAGAUUUUAUCUUAGGGUUUUGACCCAAGAUAAAACUGAAACAACAACAAGGAAGGGUGCAGACUUUUGUCUCUAGCUACCAAAUAUCCUUAAUGUGAAAUUUCCCCAGCUCUUUACCGUUCAAGUCUUCCAGUAGAUAAACUGCCUUCACUCCAACUGGAGCUAGUUUAGCGUUAACGUUAUUGGCUGCGCUACUCAAAGAAAAAUUUCUCUUUAUUACUUCUUGACCUACCUCAAACGAACGAGGCUUGGAUCUCAGGUCGUAAGUGCGUUGAUUUCUUUCGUAAGCUUUUGUCAGGUGUUUCUCGAUGUUUGAGCGAAUCUUCUGAAAUUCGUCAGCUCUUGACAAUUUUCACUCGCCCUCGUUGAGUAAUUCGAAUUCUCGCAACAUUUUGUAAUCUUGGCCAUGUGAAAUCAUGUGCUGACCAAAGACCACGAAAUAAGGUGCCAUACCAACUGAUUGGUGUAUUGAUUUUCUCAACGAACAUUUUAUGCUACUAAGGAACACAUCCCAUUCACGAUGGUCAGUACGAACGUACGCUCUGAGCGCGGCAUUAAUCGAUCGGUUAACCCUUUCCGCGGCAUUCGACUGUGGAGCAUACGCCCCUGUACAUAAGUGCUGAACACCGUACUUCAAAAGGAAUUUAGAAAAAUCACUACUUUUAAACUGCGUACCGUUAUCGCUCACUAGCACUUCCGGCACUCCAUAACAUAAAAAUAUCUCUUCCCUCAAUAUGUCAAUCACUAUCUGGGAAGUAUAUUUCUUGACCGCCUUUAAGAAGGUAAAUUUUGAGAAGUGAUCCAGGAUGAUAAAUAUUCCUAUGUUGCCCUUUCUGCUUCGAGGAAAGGGACCAAUGGAAUCAACGUACAACCGUUGAAAGGGACGUGAAGGGAAAGAGUAGUUAGCUCUAGCGCCCAUAGGAGGUUUGAGAGAGCGUGUGGGAUGUUUUGUGGUCUGGCAUACAUCACAUGCGGAAAUAUAAUCGCGGACGUCUAUAACAAUUUUUGGCCAGUAAAAUCCGUUGCCUUAUUUGGUCGAGGCAUUUGGCAAUCCCACAAUGUUCAGAGGAAGGUUGGUCAUGCGCAGCUUUAAUUACGCCCUGUCUCAAGGCUUCGGGAACAAAUAAUUUCCACGACUCAUCGGCUUGGUCAGAAUCCAACACGGAAAAACCUGUACGAUAAUAUAUGUAAUCGUCGAUUACUUGAAAAUCUGGGAGUUUGAAAAGCACGAAUUUCUCUCUGAGUGAUCGAUACUCCGACUGAAACGCAUCCGACUUUAUAUCGAUUUCUGGUAACACUCGCAUUCCAAAACCGCUACUUCCGUAACACCUUCGAAUGAACGAGACAAAGCGUCAGCCACUACAUUUUCGCUUCCUUUCCUAUGCUCGAUUUCGAACGAGUAGCCUUGUAAUUUUAGUGCCCAUCUGGCCAAUUUACCGCUAAGAUCUGACUGGUUCAUAAGCCAACGGAGGCUUGCAUGAUCCGUAACAACUUUGAAGGGAUGACCAUCGAUGUACAUGCGGAAUUUUUUUAUGGCCAGUACUACCGCCAAGCAUUCGAGUUCCGUUACCGUGUAGUUUCGCUGAGCCUUGUUCAGCUUCUUGGACAUGUAAGCUAACGGACGGUCGCAACCUGAGUCAUCACAUUGGGCUAAAACUGCACCUACCCCAUGAAGAGAUGCAUUGAACUACAAAAGGCUUGUCGUAAUUGGGAUGAAUUAAAAAUGGGGCUGAGCAUAAUUUACACUUGAUAUCAUCAAACGCUGCUUGUGCCUUUUCAUUCCAUUCAUACGACUUUCCACGGAGUAGUUCGGUGAGAGAAAAGACAACAGAAGAGUAGUUGGGAAUAAAACGUUGAUACCACCCAGUCUUCCUAGAAAUCUCCUUAGUUGCUUUUGAGUCUUCGGUAUCGGGAAUUCAUCCACGGCUCGUACUUUCUCUGAAUUAACUUGAAGCGUCCCCUCACCCACAAGAUACCCAAGGUAGUCCACCCGUUUCAGACAGAACUGACUCUUCUGCAUGUUUAUUGUCAGUCCGGCCUUGUGUAAUUGAAGAGCAACUUCCGAUAAAUGUAGCAAGUGGUCUUCAAAGUUGUUGUUCAAAGCACCAAUAAGUCAUCAAGAUAUACCAACACAUGAGAUUUGAGUUGAUACGGAAAUACAAUGUCCAUCAACCGACUCAUCGUGUGUGGCGCGUUUGUCAAUCCAAACGGCAUUCUUUUAAACUGAUAAAGCGGCCUAUUGGGUACUGGGAAAGCUGUUUUCGCACGAGAUUCUUGGUCUAAUCUAAUGCCAGAAGGCAUCCUUAAGGUCUAUCUUUGUAAUACAGUGAAACGGCGGCAACCUACUUAACAAGCCAUCCAUGAUCGGAAUUGGAUACGCAUCUCUGACUGUAACUGCGUUGAGUUUGCGGGCAUCUAAACAAAGUCGCACCUUACCAGCUCGCAGCUUCUUCAAUAACGUCCAUACUCAACAUGCUCUCUGCACAUAAAAUGGUCUCCUUUGCUGGAGACAAAGGGUAAAAUCUUUGCUUAACUGGCUUGCUGUUAGCCGUAUCAAUGUGGUGCUCCAUUAGGGUCGUUAACCCCAGUCCAUUCUUUUCGAAUGACGGAAACAAUUCGAUCACGUGCUGUAACUGCUUCUUUUGAGAAAUCGACAAGGCUAACUUGAGCAACUCGUGCUCGGAUUGAAAGGAUAACUCGUCCAUGAUGAUGAUGGAACGAUAGAAAUGCCAAAUCUUUUCCAAAAGUCCAUACCACAUAUUAUAUCCUGUUGGAUAGAUGAAACUAUUAGAAAUUCAAGUCCGAGUGUAUUGAAUUGUAAUUCAGAGGAACUUUAAUAAAACCAGCUACAAUCUGAGUCUGACCGUCAGCAGUACGAACAACGCCUUUCAUUUUGUUUGUCAGAAGAUUCUUCGAGAGAAUUUUAUCGGCUAAUUUUCCUCCGAUGACGCUUUUAUUGGCUCCGCUAUCUAAUAGCGCAAGGUAACUCUCACCGAGUAUCUCAACUGUGAACGACCGAGGAAACAGUGACGUGACGUAGGCUUCUCUUUCGCUUCCAAAAUUCGCGCAUUCGUUCCGCUGAACGAGAC